AAGGUUCCUCCCUGCCCAUCUCUCCAGCCUGUCAAGGUCCUUCUGAAGGGCUGCACAGUACCCUGGGGUAUUGGCCAGUCAUCCCAGCUUUACAUUGUCAGUGACACUGCUGAGGAGGCCUCUGCCCCUUCAUCCAAGUCACUGAUGGAUAAGUUAAACAAGACUGGGCCCAGUACUGAACCUUGGGAGACACCACUAGGAACAGGCCUCCAACUGGACCCUGUCCCACUGAUUACAAUCCUCUGGGUUCUGCUGUUCAUCUUGCUCUGAUCUUUUGUCAGUUAAAUGAUGAGCUCUGGAGCAGUGUGGUCUAUUGGUCGUGGGAAGUCAAUAUGGCUUUUCAUUAGUACUCAGCUUCCUCUCAAUUGUAACAGAAUAUUAUCUAGGUAGGCAUAUUUGCUUAUUUUUUAAAGGAGGUUUAAAACACACGGACUAAAAGUAAUGUUGCAAAAAUUAACCACCACCCUUCCACUAACAGUUAAAAGACAUUUACUUACGGGAGAUCUGACAAAAUGUAUAACUGAAUGUCAAAUGUGUACAGAUUACUAUGGAGAAAAAGGAUAUAAACACCUUUUAGUAUUAUGUUGCAAGACAUCCACUAGAUAAAAAAGAACAAAGAAUAUCAAUAGGAAACAUCCUAUUUCUAAUAAUUUAUGUCAUGGGUAGGUAUUACUGGGCUGAAACGACUCCAUGAAUGGAUUAUGGAGGUGAAAAAAAUGAUAAGGACAUGAGGACAUGAACAAUGUGUUUUAUUAGUGAUGUAUAAAAGGGCUAAUGCUCUCUUCAGACUUUUUUGCAUGUCCAUAGGGAAAUAUUCCCAAAACCUCAAUAGGAUACUCUUUUUUAGACUUCUGAGAUUCAAAAUAUCUUUUAGUCUCAAUGAGGUUUUAUACAAUCCAGUGUUUUGUCUAUGUUUCAUUGUUUUGUUGUUUUUUUGCAGCGUAUCUGUGGUUCCUAAAUGAAUACUAUCAGACAAAAUUCUCAGAGGAAAAUUAGAAACAUAAUGGAUCAGAUCUUAAAAUGAGGUAACUUAAUACUACCAGAAUAGGCUAGCAAUUACAACUAAUUACAAAUUGAGAUUUGCCUCUGACUCUUAAAGAAGCAUAAUUUUACUUUAUCAGUGGUAGUGUAAGAAGUCACCGUGUAUCUACAAGUGCUUUUUUCUCUCUCAAGAGCCAGGACCACCUCUGCAGGACUAACUUGAUCAAGAAAAGAGUCUUGAUAGGAAAGCUAAUUGGAUAAGCUCUUCUAAUUUUUCAAAAUACAACUGUAGAUGGUGGUUCUACAUCCCUGACAGAUUUUGUAGCACUGUACUCUUGCCACCUGUUAAUGUGUGAAUGUGAUUGGCUGCUCCUUCCACACUCUUCAACACAUGAAACCAAUAUUGUCAUCAAAUGUAACUCAUUUCUUUCUAUCAUUGUGUGCUACUACACAUCCUUCUUAUUCCUUGUCUGAUAGGUAAAGAAUAAUUUUAAAGUGCAGUUAGCCAAGAAGAUAUGACAGAAGCCUCAAUAGUCCCUAUUAAAUGGGAACUAAUUGCAAUCACACUAACUGUCUAUGUGUGUCUUAGAUUUACAAGACAACCAGCUAGUGUAGUUUUAAAUGUUAGCCUCUUUAGGAUCAGAAGUAUCAUCUCAUGAAUUCAGUGUGCUGUGCCUCAGAAGUUAGGAGCCUUUGAAAACAUGUAGUUCAAAUUUAAGCAACCAGAAGAUUAAUAGAGAUGUAAGUGGUAUUAUUUUUAGCUUUCAUUCUUGAGGAAUGUAAGAUUACAUGUUAAACGAAGUACAUAUGGAAUACAGGUACUUCUGCUGUCAGAACUUGGGGAGAUUUUUAUAGCCUUCAGAAUCAAAUUGAGAGAUCUGACAGUACAGGUUAGGUGUUAAGAGUCACCUCUUAGUUUAGUUUUUAAAGGCACUUGUUUUCCUAGUCAGAUACUAAUUUUGUCAGAUCCUUAGAGAUCUACAAGAAGCAAGUUCUUGACCUUGCUCAGAACAAUUUCCCAAGCCAAAAGGACUUCCCUGAUAAAAGGAGUUUAUUCUGAAGGUUGUUUGUGAUUGGCUUGAAUCAGCACUUCAAUUUUAAAUAUGUACCUGAUGGAACACAAGAUGUACAAAAAGUAUUUCUAUCUCUAACCUGCAAAAUAUAUGUGGUUAUUUUAUUGUAGUAUUAUUCAUUCUCAGAAGCCAAAUUACCCAGAGUAUUUUCUGAAAGUGAAAAUAAAAGCAGUCUGAAUACAGGUAAGUUUGUUUGAUUUUAUUUGGUGAAAAAAUGAUUUUUUAGAACUAAAAUUAAAUCUCUUGACACAUUUCUUAUAAUUAAAAUUAAAUUCUUUGGAAAACAUAUUUAACCAUAGUAUCACAGAAUGCAUCUAUUAUGCUUCAUGUGUUGUAUUUGUUUUUGAUUUCUGCCAUUGUAUUUGAAAACUUAUUAAACAGUGAAAGGAUGAUUUAAGAAAAUGAUAAACAAAUUACAAGUUAUAUUUUUAAGCUACUUGUUUAUAUAUAUUGAAGAAACUCUAGUAAGUCUGAAUUUGAAGAAUGCUCUAGAGUGGAAAAGACUUUGUGUAUCAUGAAUACUUAGUGGCAGUUACCAAAAACGAAAUGUUCUUUGGCAGGUCAGAUGAUUUGAUUGGUCACAGUAUCAUUGUCCUUGUGGCAAAGCGUAUACAUGUGGUCAUUUUUCUGGUUACCUGUGAAAAGCCAUAAUCAUCCCGUUAAUGAGAAUAGUUAAAACUGAAAACAAUGUCUGGAAAUACCAGCACUACCUUUUUGAUUUUUAUCCAUGAGUUUUCUGAAGAUUACUGCUGUCUACUAAAAUACAUGAACAGCUGACUUCCAAGCAUAAUCUGUCACUUGAAGGAUUUCACAGGCUCUCCAUCUAAACUACACACCAUCCGGGACCUGAGCACUGAUUGAAGAGGGAGAAGACUGUGUGAGAAAGCAUGAUGCCAGUGGAAGGCAGGGGCAUGAGUGGGGGCUGCCAGAAGAGCAUUACACGGUCAAUGAGCAACAAGCAUUACUAGUGAAGACUGAAGUCCCAACUUGGAAUGCCCAGUUUGAUGCCCGAUUUCACGUUCUGACAGUAGGCAGAUAGUCCAAAACCUGUGUAUAUUCAUGUAUGUAGAUGUGUAAAAUUCUGUGUAAAGUCAUGUUCAUUUACAGAAUUUUGAUGCAUCUCUGUUCUCCAUAACAUUGAUAUAUCAUUAGCUAUCAGUCAACCUUGCUUAGGAACACAGGUAAGUAUAAUAAUAAUUAAUAUAAAUUAAUUCAUUUUUUAUUAAUUAUUAAGUUUUUGUUUCCCUUAAGGCAAGUCAAUAUCAGGAAACACAGAUAAUGAAGGUUUAUCUUAGAUCUACCUGUUUGUCAGAGCAUGACAACCAGCUUGUGUUUACGUUACUGACAUGCAUGGAAUAAUGUGUACAACCCCGAGACAUUGUGGUUCAUAGAUAAUUGUGAUAAAUACUGGUGAGUGAGUUAAUCUGGAAGAAAAAAGCAUUAAACAGUAUUUUCUUCAAGAGUACAUAUUUUGGCUUGUCAAAAAAAAAAAUCCUGUUCCCAAUCUCCUUGCUCUUUUUUCAUUUUAUUGCAGUAGAUCUGUCAUUUCUUCAGGGGGUUAAUAACAUAAAGAGAAGUAGUCAUUUUAUGUUUUUCUUAUGACCCUAAAAUUAAUCCACUUUCAGUCAAUCAAUCAGUGGUCAUAAUUUUAGGCUGACUGUUCUCAUUGUAAUGGAAAGAGUCUCAUUUAAAUUGACUGAUAAACUGAGAAGCUUUCAUAAAAUACGGUCUGCUUUUAUUAAUCUUUUGACUUAAUAAUGAGCUGUCUGAUUUUUUCUCUCUGUUCACCCACCCUCUCCUUACUUCAGCUCUCCUUGAUAUACACUACACUGUAAUAUGACUGCAGCUGAGCAUUGGGUUUUCUCAGUUCUGUGGUGAUUUUUUUUCCUGAUAUGCCUGAUAAUUUUUAUGUACUUUUUUUUGUGUUUUAUGUACUGUCCUUUUGCUACCUUUUGACUUAGCCAUGUAAAAAUCUACUAUAGAUGCAGAAAUUACUGGUGAAUGAAAUCAUUGAUUUACUUGCACUGGUGCUAUCUCCUUGACAGUGGUGGAAAUACCAGGCGGUUGUGUGAGAAACACUUUUUCCUGCCACAUCCUUUGAAACAUGGGCAUUGUGCUUUCUGUAACAAAAUAACCUUUCUGCACUUUUAGAGGUUUUUUUCAGUAUACUGGUGUUUUCAUAAUAUGUGCAGAUGUAUAAUUAUUUAUGCUUAACUCUCCUAAGGCUUUGGUCUCAAUAAUAUUUUGAGAGAAUUAAGAAGCUACUGCAUCACUGUGUUCAAAAUGUAAACUUUGCUUUUAAACUCAUUUUUUGUUUUGUUGGGUUUUUUUAAAAUAGUACAACUCAAGAGGUGGUAAAUAAAAACAUCUGAUUAGCUUCUCUUUACCAAAUAUUUAGCUUUAUAAGUUUUUGACCUCAGAGAGGCAAUAAGAAAUUUUUGUAUUUCCAGAAGUUUCCAGUGAAAAGCACCGCAAAAUAUGAUGAAAGUAGACAAUGAAGUGAGAGCUAAUUAGAGGUGGCAGGUGGUGGUUCUGCCCACAGUACAAACAGGUUUGAGUGGGAGAUGCUGUCUUAAAAUUAUGUUAUGUGUUACAUCAAUAGCUAAGGAAAAUAAAAUUUAAGAGGAAAAAAGGAUAACCAAAAUAAUCUUUCAGGAGAUGCUUGUUAGACAAACUAAGGUCUACCACCUACAAUAAGAAAACAAAAUGGGCCUUGUACGCAAAUCAAGGGACUUUGUGUUACCCUCUGUUAAAAAUUCUUGACUUAAGGAAAGAGGAGUGACUUUAGUGCUGUGUUCGAUCUUUGUAAUAUAAUGAAGUAUCCUUUUUUGGGCAUUACAGUAAAAUUUUCAAAUUAAAAAUACACUCAUUGUUUUUUAAUCCACUUCCCUGUGAAGUAACACAUACUGGUCAACUUUGGCGGCUGAUUAUGAGGAUAGAAGGCCAGCUUUUUUGGCUGGAUGUGAUUAUGAAUUUUUGUCACUCUGUAAAUUUCAGUGUAUCUUUCUUCUGAAUAGUUUUUUCCACUGUCAAAUUUUUCUGUUCUGGAAAAUUGUUCACCCUCAAUAUUGGCAUAAUUUUUUCAAGGGCAGAUGUUUUCAAACUGAAUUCUCUAACGUAUAUUUUUAGUAGAAAUGACAAAUUAAUUAAUUUAAAAUGGUACUCCUAAAAGACUUAUACUGACUGAAAACAGUAUAAUUUUUUUUUUUAUAUUUGACUACGUAACCUUAACCUAAAAUUUCGUUUAGCUUUUGUGGCUUUGAUUCUAAUUUCAGCUAACUGCCCUUUUAGCCUGCUGCUCUAUUCUAGUGAAAGCAUGGUACAACUUCUGAAACUUCUUGUGGGCUCAGGAGCGCAAGUGAGAGUAAAAUAAUCAGGUGUGGGGAAUGUCAGAAAGUUGAGCUUAUGGGAAAUUCUUAUCUGACAUUACUUCAAGAGUCAAAAUAAUUGGUAAAUUUAAAGGAUCAUAGAAUGAUUAGGAUUUUGUGUUGGCAACUGAGAGAAAUAAGUUCAACUUAGAUACAUGGGAGAAAAUCAUAAAGAGACUGAGGAAUAAAAAUUCAAGUAAGAGAGAUCUAAUUUUUUUAUUGUUGAAUUAAAUACUAUUAUAAGAGGAAAAGAAAUCUGAGAAAAACCAAAUUAUUCAGCAAAUAUUUGAAGGACAGUGAAAUACCUAUUGCCUAGUUACAGAAAGUACUUGUUUAUUUUAAGUAUGUAUUUUAGCAAGAUUAGAGUAAGACAGAAACCACAGUCAAACUGUCUUAAAUACAGAGUGUAAACUUCUAAUGCUAUGUUGAACCCAGGAUGUUAUCUUGGUGGCAAUGAAGUGAAAGGUAGUGAAGUUCUAGCCCUCAUAUGGAAGCAGAAAAGUACAGCGGAGAGGGGAGUUUUGUUUCCUACAGAAAAUUCUCUAAAACUCCAGCACAAGAAAGAACAUAAUCUUAAUUUGUUAGUUCACUUGUCUUUCUAUUUCAACAAUUUAUGCCUAAAAGGUUCAAGUGAAGAUAGCUUGAAUUGCAGUUGAUGUUACAGAGAUACCUUGUGUAUAUGAUUUACUAAUGAAAUCAGAAUUGAUAUUCCGAUAACACUCUGUGCUACAAAGUAUAAGAAAAAGAAUCCUGAGAAUUUACUAAGGUAGAAUUCAUGGAAGGCAGUAAAAUUUUCCUUGCUGCUCUUCUACAAAUAUGUCAGUUUCUCCAAUACUUGCAGUGAAGGGCAGUUUAGACACUGCUAUUAUCUGUCAAAUGACCCUUGCAAGCCAAAGGCCUUAUUAUUAAAUCUCUGACUAAAGCUCCUGUUGUGUUCCUUUAUUUUUACCUCUACCCAAGGUUAUGCUCCAUAUUUAUGGAGCAUUUUUGUAAUUCAGCAGGACUGGCUUCUAAUUGGCUCAUUUACUUGAACAUACUAACAUAGGCAUUAGUUAUUUUCCAGUGUCUCUGAGUCCUGUCAGGGCAAAGGUUGCUCAUGUGAUAGAAGAGAUCUUUGGAGGAUUCUCCAUUCUACAGAGCCAUGUUUGAUUUUAUUCAAGGGAUUAUUCCUGCUUUAGGGCAGUAAAGGCAUCUUAUUUGCUGACUGAAUAUUUUUGCCCUGGAAUUGGUUUAAGAAUAGAUAAGGAAGGAGUCCAAAGACUUUAUUUUUGUCUUUCUCCCAUUGUAUUUUAUCAUUUGCUGCAUUAGGUCCAAUUUCAGAAAAUGAAAGUUGAGAGCAAAAGGCUGACAAGAAAGAAGUGGAAGGAGUCAUUGUGUAGUUUGGAACAAUCCCCUCCCUGUGCUGCAGGGAUGUUUAAAUUAAUUAACAUUUAUUUCAGUAUGAAAGCGAAGAAAAGAUUGAUAGUAAUUCUUCCCAGGGGACAAGAGAAAGGAGAAAGAAAUGCCUUUCCUCACAUACUUCUCUUUCUCCCUCCAGGAAAAUUCAAGUGGGAUAGAAAUGAAUACUGCCUUCAACAGCAGUUCAGUUGGUGGGAGUGGAGGAUACGUGAAAAAGGAUAAGAGAUAUUGGAGGCUAGAGCUGCAAGACAGGCAGAAGAAGAGGUGGUAGAAAGAUAGAUGUGUGAUGCCCAUGUUUAGUGUGAAAAAAUGUGAUGGGAGAGAAAUUCUAAUGAUCACAAUGCAGAAUUAGUAAGGGAAAUAUAAAUAAGGGAGAAAUGAACACGAUUAUUUUGAUGAGAAAAAAGAGUUAUCUGAAAUGAUCUGGUUUUGCCUUAUAAUGUAUAAAACAUAAAUUGUGUAAAUUCAAGGAUGAUGCUACAAAAUUAACAGCUUCUCAUAACUCAAAGCUAAGUUUAUCUGAAGUGUCACAUAUAGCACUCAAAAGUAAAACACCUUUUCUGCCAUUGCCAGAAUGGGUGCUUCUUAACUGUAUCCAUAAAUGAAAAGUUGCAGACAAUUUUCAUGUUUGCCUACCGGCAUUAUAAAUAUGAGAUUCUCUACAUCUUCAGGUUCUGCCUGAUAACUUCCCCAUUUUUCAGUUCUGACUCCCAUUACCUCCUGUAGAAGCUUUGAUUAAUUUAAUGUUCUGACUUUCAGUUUGUAUCGUCUAAAGUUCCCAAAUACUCAUCAUUUGGUUUAUGAUGCUUGUGGUGGAAACAGUGGGUCCUUUAGUUUUGACCUGACUGUGCUGAUUUCCUUGUCAUUCAUGUGCACUAAAUCCAAGAAAACAUGUUUUAGAAAUAGGUAUUUGAUUUAUUAUUUUCAAGCCUCUGUAAAUACUAGUGGUGAUUUUUCUACUAGAUACACACAGAGAAAGGUUAGGAAUAUAAAAAGUCAUACAUUCAUCAGUAUGAAGAAACUACUGCUAUUAAGCAUGGGCAUUCUAACUGUUGUUCCAUCAAAUGUUCAGAAGGAUAAAGCAAAUCAGCUAAAGUUGGUACAGACUCUUGUGUCUGGGAACAAGGUAUUGGUAAUUUCUGUCCUAAUCCUAGUCAUUUUGUUUACUUGUUAGGGGACAGUUUAAAUUUUGCUUCCACUGAAUCAAAUAAGUACAAAGACCAGGAUGGCACCUUUUAGAUGACGUUGCCCAGUUCCCUCCUACUCUCCGCUCCCCUCCUCCAAUCAAGGAGACUCAGGCAGCGUUGAGAGCUGUGUGCACUUGAGUUAUGCCCAGGUUAUGGGUUCGAUCUCCAUAUGGACCUUUCACUUAAGAGUUGGACUUGAUGAUCUAACUCAGAAUAUUUUGUGAUGUUUCUGUGAUGCUUCAAGGGGUUUUGAAUAGCUUCAAAGAUAGAGAUUCCACACCCUCUAUGGAUAAACUCUUCAAUGCUUGACCCAUCCUCACAGUAAAAAAGACUUUUCUUAUGUUUAAAUAAUUUCCUGUAUUUCAAUAUGUGUCUAUUACCCCUUGUCCUGUCCUUAGGCACUACAUUUACUCCAUUUUUUUUACUCCUCCUCAUUAAAUAUAUCCACAGAUGGAUAAAAUUCCUGAGUCUUUUAUUCUUCAGCCAGAGGAGUCCCAGCUCUCUCAGCCUGUCCAUGCAUGAGAGAAGCUUCAGUCCCUUCAUCACUUUUGUAGCCAUUUGCUGGAGCAGCUUUGGAACUGAACUAACGAGCUGGCAGUGGAGAUGUGGUGAGCAGCCAACAAGUCCUGAGGAGUGCAUCAAAAAAAGGGAAGACUAGUAAGUGGCAAAGACUGUCAAUAUUUAUUUAAAGACUAAAAAUUUCACCAGAAAAUGUUAUGCUGAUAAACCACAGGAAGAAUGUCAUGGGUGCAUCCAUUUGUGCUUGCAAAAAAAUGAAUUGAAGGACUCAAGCUUCUGGAGAAACAUCAGUCCUACAUAUCAAAAAGCUUUUGUAACCAUUUCUGAUUCCUACCUGUGUUUCUGACUUACAUCAAUUUUCUGUAUUUCCUUAAACACAUUAGAAGAUGAAAAAAGCCCAUCAGGUCUGUUGAUGCUUCUUUUCUGUUUAGAGUUGACAAUUAUGGUGGUUUGCAAUGUUUUUGAAAAGUGUUCCAGCCCAUAGUCUGGCUCAGUUGCUGUAUGAGUUCAGUCAACAUUCAUUGAAACUAUAAACUUGCUACAAACCCUGCCUUUUCUUUCAAGCUAUACAAAUUAUGGACUGAUACACCAUCCAGCUCUUGUAGCAGGAGAGGGCAUCUGUUCAACUUUUAAAAGUAUAUGGUACACUUGUCCAGCCUCUAGAAUUAAAGAUUGCCUACUUAAUUAUUAAAUGGCUUAGGGAAGAGAAUUAAUUGUGUCUUCAUUUCAUGGAAAGAAACAUGUGGAAAAACUGAAAUAUGCUUGACACGAGCAGCCUGGUUCAAGUUUACAGAGCUGCAAACUGUUGGCCCUUAGCUAAGGCAGUAAGGCAUCUCUGGUGCUGUGCAAUGUAACUAUAACUUCUGAGGAUGGGUUUGUGUCAUUUGUUUAAGGAAAAUCAUGCAUAAACUAGAGUACAACAAUCAUCUAGAAAGCUAAUAAAUGAAGAAAAAUGAAAGACAGAGGUGAAAACUUGCCAGUUUGGAAAAAGCAAUGAGAUGACAGAACAGACACUUUGAAGCAAACCUCCAUAGAUCCGGAAGUUCCAGAUUCUUGAAUUUGACUACUGAUUACAAUUUUUUCUUUUAUUUGGGUAAGACAGGAUUAAAGAAAAAAUACCAGCUUUUGGACCCAAUUAAUUUUAAAACAAUCAAGUUUUUGGUGCUUGAUACACUAGUACCACAUACUGCUGCUUAUGUGCUGGGGAAAACAUUUGACACUGCAAGGAAGAAAGGAAAGAAAUUAAAGGAAAGAAAUUGCAAGUAAAACAUCAAAUAGGCAAAGGAAACAUCAUAUUUGACUUGAUGUUCUUGGGUAGUUUCUACAGGGAGCAAGACUGGGUUAAUUCAGCUCUGUUUAGCAAAGAGAAGAGGUUGAAUUCUGUGGGAAGAUACUUCUGUUCCUCCACCGUGUCUCCAUGCCUCUUCCCAUAUCAAAACAUGCCUCCUAUCAGCUUGCUCCAAUUAUUGAAACAGUAGCGUCAUGAGUCAUCAUUCAUCAUUUCUACGUUUCUUCACCUACAGAAUUACCAAAGACUGUGGGCAUCCACUUGCAAUUCAGAGCAAAAUGUUACUUCUAUGUUAUCAUGCAAUAUUCCAUGGUAACAUGACACAUCUUCCAUGUGUGAAUUACAGUGGUGGUAUUAUUUUACUGGUGCAGCUGGAGAAAUACUUGUUAAUGCUAAUCUGCUUGUGUAAAUAAGAUCAAUAAACAGACAAUGCCUGUGAAGUUGCCAAGAUUCUCAGAAAGUUCAGCUCAGAAAUCAAAAUUUUAAAAAUUAGCUUCUAUUCCUAGACCUGUGCAUUCAUUUUCUACCUUAAUCCCACAUAAGAUGCUCCCUGAUAUAAAGGCUACAAAUAUAUAAUACUCCAACUCAGUCUCUGUUAGAAUAUCACAUCUGGCACCAGUAAUGAAGAAAUACUAGCACAGGACUUACCUUGACCAAAGAAAUCCUAAACAUAGUGUUAUAAGUCAUCAUUCAUUAUUUUCUUGGAGCAAAACUGUCUGCAACUAAAGUUGUCACACCUCUGGACUUUGUACAGCUUUUCUGAGAUAUUCUGCCCUGAUUCACACAGUUACAGGCGCUUCAUGAUUCAUCUCAAAACACUGAAAUAUGAUGUUCCAUUAGUUAUAAGCAUGCAAUGCCCUGCUUCCACUGUCUAAUUUUUGUCAAAGUGUGGAAAUAAUCUGGAGGGAUCAAAAAGUGCUGCCUAUGCCUCUCAACAAAGAGCAAGUGGGGGAUGCAAUUAGAUGAACAAUCCUUUGGUGUUGGUUGUAGAAAUUAAUUAUAAUCUUGAAUGCUUUACAUUAACUGUAGCUUUAAGAGACAAAAAAGAGUACAGAAUCGGAAUGAUGUGCUGUGAUGGACAAAAAUCAGCACUUGCAGACAGUACCACUACUAAUGCCAAAGGAACAUAUAUUUUUUACUGUAGACUCUGGUGUUCAGGAUCAGAAUGUAGAAGUGUGAAAACUUCACUCAUUUAUUUGCUCCAGAUUUUUCUGCAAAAAUAUUGCAUUAGUUCCACACCUUUACCUUUCUGACCUCAUUAUACAACCAGAAAAAAAAAAUAUUUUAACUUUGAAAAGUAUUAAAAGUCAACUCAUAGACAUUUGUAGAUUGCAUCUCUCUUCUUACAGAAAGUUAUGAUCUGUCAUAUAUGGCAGGUUCAGAUAACCACAUUACCUCUAAUAGCAGAUUUAACUUUUUAAGUUUUGUGUAAUUUUGUGGCUAUUUAAUUUAGAUUAUUUGUUUCUCUCAGACCGACCAACCAACCAACCAGCCAACCAACCAUUCAAUCAACCCCACAGUUUUCAUGUGAUUCUUGAAGAUUUUAAUUUUCGAAUGUAGCAUUUAAUUUUGUGAUGUGAAAAAUGGGUUGUUCUGUAAGUGUUUCAUCUUGGGGCUUAAAAGGAAAACUUUCGCUUUUGGGGUUAUGUUUGUUUUGCUGCCAUAGGAGACAACAGAAUCCAGAAAGGCAAAUAACUGAUGAGUCCGUGGAAAGAGCUCAGCAAGAACAGGUAGUGAGAUGAAAAGGUUGAGGCAAGGAAAGCCUGUAAGUACAGUGUAGCACAGAGCAAAAGUGAGAAGCAGAUUAGGAUGAGAGAGGUAAGGAGCUGAGCUGGAGAUGGUAACUCAUUGCAGAAAUCUGGAGGUGAUGGAGGAAGAAAGGUAUGUAAUUGUUAUUUGCAUCACCAGGGAUCGAAGAAUGGAAUCUGUUAUUGAGCACCCUGUCAAGUAGCUUUUAUCUCCAUUAUGCAGAUAAGACUUAAUGACUUCCAAAUCUGAAAGAAACAAAAAUCCUUGGUAUUGGUAAAGAGAGAAAUUGUAUGUUCUGUCUCCCACAUUUAUGCAUUUGCAUAUAUUUCCAAUACCUGCCCUGCAUAGAUAUUCAAGGUUUCAUUUGUAAUUUCUAAGGCCAAACUCAAGAUCCGGUUAAAGGUUCUGUAUUUUAUUGAUAAGCUGUGGAAAAAAAAAGUUAGAUGUUUCAGAUAUUAAAUCUCAGUUUUCAGUAUCAUCGAAGGGCAAGACAUGUAAAUGCCAUUUUGACCUACAAAGUAUGUAAGAAGUAAAUAUUAUAAAAUCAGCACAUGACAUUCACUGACACUCAGAUGAGAUCUUCAGAGCUUAAUAAAUGUCACUGUAACUGAGCUGCAAAUUGGUGAACUUUUUCUCUUGGAUUCUGUUCAGUUGAUUAUAGAAAUGCACUGUUUGCUUUGCAUGAGGUGGAUUGAAAGGAGCAGCUUAGGUAUUGAUGAAGAAGGAAAUUCAGUUGCAAUUGGGUGUGUGAAAAAAUGUAUGAGUUGAACAAAAACAUCUCAAAAGGUUCCUUCUAAGUUCAACUUCUAUGUGAUUCUGUAACACCAAAGCCUUCUAAAAAACAUCUCCUCGUGUAUAUGUAUAAAAAUAUGUAUAUAUGCCUAAAAACAUGCAUAUAUGCAUAGAAUACCUGCCUGCUGCUUAGUCAUUUGGUUAUAGUUAGAUUCAAAGCUAGCACUUUUCUAGUUUUUGAAUUAAUAACUUAGCUUUCUAACAUUUGUGGGAGAGAAGGUCAAAAUAUGGUUUCAGUAGGACAGACUACUCAGUUUUCUCAUGUAUAUGUGUAUCAGUCAUCUGUCAUGAAUAAAGAUGUAUAUUGCA